CCCCCAAGCCCACCGAGCCCAGAAUAUAACCCGGGCGCAGCCCUGCGUGGAGGCCCGACCCCUUCCUGCCAGAGACCCGGGUCGCCUCUCCGGGCGCCGGGAUCCCUCCUGGCAGAGGCUGCGCUGGGGGUGAGCGCCCCCAGGCCGGGAGCAGAGGGCCGGGCAGGGUCAGCCGGGAGGGUCUCGCCUGGCCUCCGGCCCCCCAGGCACUGGCAGCGGCUCUGCAGCUUUGCUGGGGAGCCUUCCUUGCUGUAUUGUGAAGUCUCAUCUUCCGCAGGCCAGGGCCAGAAUUCCAGCGCACGCCCACUUCAGGCUGGCCCUCCAGAGAGGGCCCUCCUUCUGGGCCUUUUCAAGGCCUAUGCAGAUGUCUCGUAAUCUCUGUCAUUUCGCCGAGGCAGCUUGAAUAAUGACCACAGCAAGCCAUCCUACAGUAUCAGACCGAUGGCCCAGGAGAGUUGGGACUUCGUUGUGGUUAACUGUAUCUGGCCUCAGGUCAAAAGUCUGCUUAAAAAGUGGGCACAAGAUGCUACGGCGUAGAGGUGGGGGGACGAAGACCCAAUCCCUGAACCGUUCUGCAAACGUCACACGGAACCUGGACUUGAAGAGAAUAGCAGGAGCUGCUGACGCGUGUCGAGCUCGGACCUACCCACGACGUCUCGCUGAACCUGGAGUCGUACUGGUUGCUCUUUUCCACCUGCAGAGAAGCCCUGAGUCUUUGUCUCACUGGCACCUCCUGACAGCUUUGGGAGGGCGUCCCUCGGUUCGGUUUUCCGUGGUCUCCGCCCUGGUCUUAGAUCAGCCAACACUUGGUUCCGACUGUCCCUGCACUUGGGGUUGAUCGCUGGUGGCCACGGCCAGUCGUGGCCACAGUUCAGGCCUGAGGAAGGCAGCAGCUGGUGCCCCGCCUGAGACGCGCCAGAACGCCCCAGCGGCCUUGGUCGGGACACCCCUGGACAGCACCUCUUACGGAAAAGAGGCCCGAGCAUGUCUUCGAUUGGAAAAGCGUUUCAAAGCACAGUGGCCAGCCAGCAAACCGGCCAUGCCAGUUGCACGUAGAAAUCCUGAGUGAGCUCUCAGGGCCGGUCACCAGUUCACACCUGAAGCCUGUGUUGUUUAACGUCCGGUCCUGUUCGAUUACGACGUGAUUCUACCGGCUCAAGAAACCUCUUUUUACACAGGAGCUGCCGUCCUUCGUUUUUAAUCACAGCUCUGCAAAGGUACCAGGCAGCCCGUGUGUUUGAAACGCCCUCGUCCUGACCUGUGCAGAGCAAGGAGGCAGCGGCUGCCUCACGGGCUCCGCUGCCCGGCGUCCUGAGGACCGGGGACAAAGCCCAGCGCCGUCCGGGAGCCGCGCUCGCCGGGGCGGUGCUCCACCGGCAGGGGCGUGCCCGCGCUCUCGGUGUGUUGGAGCGGCGGUGCCCACAGCUACAGGAGAGGCGGGCGGGGCCCCGCACACGCGAGGCCGAGCACUGACGUUUACCCGCGAUCGUCCGUCCGGCAAAGUUUGAUCGGCUGCCCCGUGUGACAGCUCAUCCGUUGAGCUGCAGUGGGCCCGGAGCAAGGUUUAACUUGCAGCCGAAGUUGUUAUCCUGAUGUGCAAGUGAAGUUUCUACGUGUUGUGCGCCCCUAGGUCUUAGCAGGAAUUCACUUCUGUACCCGAAUGGGGACGUGGGCCAGCACCCACAGUCGGUGUCCACCGGGUCAGAUGCCGUGACGAGCGGGCCCUGUGGGUGGGCUCCGUGACCGUGCGGUGCCUACACGCUGUGCGUUCGAUGUUUCCGUUGUCGAAUAUUCAUUCACUUAAGUGCUUCCCGGAAAAAACGAUUCAUUAAUCCACGCUUUAAAUUUAAUUCUGAAGGAGUGCUUUUAACACUUGAAAACAAAAAUCAGCUUGUUUUGUAUAUACGAACUGGUUUUUUUGUUUUUGUUUUUAAUGCUAAUAAAUCAGGCACUGCUCACAAAUCAGUUGAUGUAGUCUGUCCUGUGCGGAGUGGCCCUUGCAGGAUG
ensembl:lncRNA